AAGUCGUAACAAGGUUUCCGUAGGUGAACCUGCGGAAGGAUCAUUAUUGACUAUGAAUCGUUGCCUUCAGUGCUGGCUCCGGCAAGUGCACGUUGGUGACUUUCAUCCAACACCCUGUGAACCUUUGGCCUCUUGCUGGCUUCGGCUGGCAGAGGAUUUUUUACACCGACUCACAUGUAAUGAAAUUAUUGUUGUGCGCAAGCACUAAUGUACAACUUUCAACAACGGAUCUCUUGGCUCUCGCAUCGAUGAAGAACGCAGCGAAAUGCGAUAAGUAAUGUGAAUUGCAGAAUUCAGUGAAUCAUCGAAUCUUUGAACGCACCUUGCACCCUUUGGCAUUCCGAAGGGUAUGCUCGUUUGAGUGUCAUUGUACUCUCACACUUCUGAUCCUUUGGUGGAUUUGGAGCGGUGGACUUGGGUGUUGCCGUGUCAGAGUGGCUCACCUCUAAUGCAUUAGUGCAACUCUUGGUUGGACAUAGUACGGCGUGAUAAGUGUCUUCGCCGGCACCUCGCAAGAGGGUGGCUGAUCAGGAGCUCUGUGCUUCCAACGGUCCCUUGGACAAUGACUGACAACUUGACCUCAAAUCGAGUAGGACUACCCGCUGAACUUAA
rnacentral:misc_RNA from 1 species